rnacentral:rRNA from 1 species
UGCAAGUCGAACGGCAGCACGGGGGCAACCCUGGUGGCGAGUGGCGAACGGGUGAGUAAUACAUCGGAACGUGUCCUGUAGUGGGGGAUAGCCCGGCGAAAGCCGGAUUAAUACCGCAUACGAUCUACGGAGGAAAGCGGGGGAUCUUCGGACCUCGCGCUGCAGGGGCGGCCGAUGGCAGAUUAGCUAGUUGGUGGGGUAAAGGCCUACCAAGGCGACGAUCUGUAGCUGGUCUGAGAGGACGACCAGCCACACUGGGACUGAGACACGGCCCAGACUCCUACGGGAGGCAGCAGUGGGGAAUUUUGGACAAUGGGGGCAACCCUGAUCCAGCAAUGCCGCGUGUGUGAAGAAGGCCUUCGGGUUGUAAAGCACUUUUGUCCGGAAAGAAAACCGCCGCCCUAAUAUGGUGGUGGGAUGACGGUACCGGAAGAAUAAGCACCGGCUAACUACGUGCCAGCAGCCGCGGUAAUACGUAGGGUGCGAGCGUUAAUCGGAAUUACUGGGCGUAAAGCGUGCGCAGGCGGUCUGUUAAGACCGAUGUGAAAUCCCCGGGCUUAACCUGGGAACUGCAUUGGUGACUGGCAGGCUUUGAGUGUGGCAGAGGGAGGUAGAAUUCCACGUGUAGCAG